rnacentral:rRNA from 1 species
GACGAACGCUGGCGGCGUGCUUAACACAUGCAAGUCGAACGGAAAGACCCUGCUUUUGUGGGUUGCUCGAGUGGCGAACGGGGGAGUAACACGUGAGUAACCUGCCCUUGACAUUGGGGUAACUUCAGGAAACAGGGGCUAAUACCGGAUAGGAGCUCUUGCUGCGUGGUGUGGGUUGGAAAGUUGCGGCGGUUGUGGAUGGACUAGAGGCUUAUCAGCUGGUUGGUGGGGUAGUGGAUUAACAAGGCUUCGAAGGGUAGCCGGCCUGGGAGGGUGACGGGCCACAGUCGGAUUGGGGUGCGGCCCAGAGGCAUUCGUGAGGCAGGAGUGGGGAACAUAGCGCAAUGCGCGGCAGGAUGAUGCAGGAACGUCGGGUGGGGGAUCACGGCUUUCGGGUUGGAACCCGCUUUCGCCUGUGACGAAGCGUGUGUGCCGGUAAUGGGUAAAGAAGCACCGCUUACUUCCGU